rnacentral:rRNA from 1 species
GGAGUUAGCCGGUGCUUCUUCUGCGAGUAACGUCACAGAUGUAAGGUAUUAACUUACACCCUUUCCUCCUCGCUGAAAGUGCUUUACAACCCGAAGGCCUUCUUCACACACGCGGCAUGGCUGCAUCAGGGUUUCCCCCAUUGUGCAAUAUUCCCCACUGCUGCCUCCCGUAGGAGUCUGGGCCGUGUCUCAGUCCCAGUGUGUCUGAUCAUCCUCUCAGACCAGCUAGGGAUCGUCGCCUAGGUGAGCCUUUACCUCACCUACUAGCUAAUCCCACCUGGGCUUAUCCAUCAGCGCAAGGCCCGAAGGUCCCCUGCUUUCCCCCGUAGGGCGUAUGCGGUAUUAGCAGUCGUUUCCAACUGUUAUCCCCCACAAAUGGGCAAAUUCCCAGGCAUUACUCACCCGUCCGCCGCUCGUCAUCUUCAAAAGCAAGCUUUUGAAAUGUUACCGCUCGACUUGCAUGUGUUAGGCCUGCCGCCAGCGUUCAAUCUGAGCCAUAAUCAAACUCUGA